rnacentral:rRNA from 1 species
GACGAACGCUGGCGGUGUGCUUAACACAUGCAAGUCGAACGGAAAGGCCCUGCUUUUGUGGGGUGCUCGAGUGGCGAAAGGGUGAGUAACACGUGAGUAACCUGCCCUUGACUUUGGGAUAACUUCAGGAAACUGGGGCUAAUACCGGAUAGGAGCUCCUGCUGCAUGGUGGGGGUUGGAAAGUUUCGGCGGUUGGGGAUGGACUCGCGGCUUAUCAGCUUGUUGGUGGGGUAGUGGCUUACCAAGGCUUUGACGGGUAGCCGGCCUGAGAGGGUGACCGGCCACAUUGGGACUGAGAUACGGCCCAGACUCCUACGGGAGGCAGCAGUGGGGAAUAUUGCACAAUGGGCGGAAGCCUGAUGCAGCAACGCCGCGUGCGGGAUGACGGCCUUCGGGUUGUAAACCGCUUUCGCCUGUGACGAAGCGUGAGUGACGGUAAUGGGUAAAGAAGCACCGGCUAACUACGUG